GACGAACGCUGGCGGCGUGCUUAACACAUGCAAGUCGAACGAUGAAGCUGGAGCUUGCUCUGGUGGAUUAGUGGCGAACGGGUGAGUAACACGUGAGAAAUCUGCCCUUGACUCUGGGAUAACUGCGGGAAACUGUAGCUAAUACCGGAUACUUUCCCUGGUGGGCAUCCACUGGGGAAGAAAGAAUUUCGGUCAAGGAUGAUCUCGCGGCCUAUCAGCUUGUUGGUGAGGUAAUGGCUCACCAAGGCGACGACGGGUAGCCGGCCUGAGAGGGUGACCGGCCACACUGGGACUGAGACACGGCCCAGACUCCUACGGGAGGCAGCAGUGGGGAAUAUUGCACAAUGGGCGCAAGCCUGAUGCAGCAACGCCGCGUGAGGGAUGAAGGCCUUCGGGUUGUAAACCUCUUUUAGCAGGGAAGAAGCGAAAGUGACGGUACCUGCAGAAAAAGCACCGGCUAACUACGUGCCAGCCGCCGCCGUAA
rnacentral:rRNA from 1 species